AUGGCGUGGCGCGGCGCCGCCUCCCGCACCGUCCUCGCGGCCGUCCGCCGCCCGGGGCCCUCGCCCUCCGCCGCCGCGCGCGCCCUCCGCGCCCCUCCUCCCGUCGCUGCCCCUCGCCCCCGCCGCGUCCCAUCCCCCUUCGCCUCCUCCUCCCCGACGGCCGCACGGCCGCUGGCGGCGAUGAUGGGGUCGCCGCUGACGACGGCGGCGUUGCUGGCGCGGCUGACGGCGCACCCGGCGGCCAGCGCGCGGGCCUGCUGCGAGCUCUCCCAGGGUAUCUCCUUCCGCCGCACUUGUCAGGAUCGCUAAUGGAAUGGAAAAGAUGGGUGAUGCAAGAGGCCAGUAGACAAAGGUGCUGAUUUUGAAGCAUGAAAUUUCCUUUGGUACUUGAAGUUACCAUGUAGAUUCACUGUCCUUUGAAAAGGAUACAACUCUUCUUGGAUGCGUCUUUUGGAAGGCUGUUCUGGUGUUUCGAUUAACUUCAAAGUUAGAAGAAACUCUCCAGUGAUAGCUCGUCUCAAAGUUUCUAGCUUAGACAGAGAAAUAAUUUCCUGUUAUUACAACAUGGCUUGCGCCUAUGAAUUCAGCUUCUUUCAUUGUUUUCCACUUACUACCACCUGUUGAGAUAUCUCGCAUUUCAAUUGACCUGAGUAUUGUGAUAUCACCGUCUUUGUUUGAAAUCGCAAUCUCUGCAUUAUUGGUUUUCCGUUUGA